AGGAAUUUAGUCCUUUCAUGUUGCCUUAUUGUCAUUUUAUCUUCUGGUUUCUCUAUAUCUUCAUCUCUUGUUCACUCCGUCUCUCACUUUUCUCUAAACCAAUCUUUUUAGUUUUCUAUUCUUUUUCUUCUUCAAUGGCUAAAACCCUAAAUAUUCCUCUUCAGCCCCUAGAAAGAGCUCUCGUUUCAAGAUGGAGAAAAUUUGGGAGUCUCAAAGAAAACUAGUGCUGACGUUGGUUUCAUGCAUAUCAAAUUGAAUCAAGUAAUUCAUGAGGCCAUUAAACUUGCUACUAAGAUUCGCCCUAGUACUGAUGCUAUCUCCACUGUGAUUACUACUCAGUUCACAAACCUGAAGGAUGCCACAAUAAAAAACUAGGCUUAUUUUCUUUGUCGCGGAGAAUGCUAAAUCCCCUCUACAUGUUUCUUAUUCCCGACCCUUGUGUUGCUCGUUUAAGAUAACUUUUUUGGUUUUGGUUCUGUAAUUAAGCAUAAGCUCACUAUUGCUACUUUACUUGCAUGUUUUGCUAGUUGUUCUCUAUUUAUUUUGCAUACUCUGUUAUUCUUCCUUUCUGAUAGAUGUCAAAGGAGAAAAAAUAGAAAACUUAUUUACAGGUAUAAACACAAGUCGAAUAGUUCGGCUAUCUAGGGGGGACUACUCAGGGGGGAGUUAAAAUGGGGGAAGUGGCUACACCUUAAGUUUUAAGUUAUAAUCCUCAAAAAGGGGAGAUUGUUUAUGUUUGAUUUUGAUGUUUGACAACCUUGCUUGCAGGAACUCUCUAGCAUCAAUCAAGGAUCCAUUUUGGAAAUCAAAUAUUCCAUGUAUCAAAAAGGAAGAAUUGCAAUAUUCUUCCUUGAAGAAAAAGAUUCAGUCAAUCAGUAAAAGAGUAAAAGAAGGCUGGGUGUGAAAAAGGAAAAAGAUUUCAAGAUCCUUUCUUUUAGGAAGCAAAUCGCGGAUCAAUGGACCAUUAUUAUGAUCCAAUCUUAUUCUUGAAAAGAGGAUAUUUCACAUCCAAUUUCCAAUGAUCAAAUCUCUUGGGUUGUCUUGGUUAAAAAUUCUUCAAAUGGCUAUUACUAAGUUCGCCUAUUUAAAGGCUUGAAAGAUUAUCGAAGAGAUAUACUAUUGUC